CUGUAUAUUUAUUUUACCUUUUUGCCUUUAUUAAAGUAUUUUCAUACUUUAUCUCAUUCCAUUAUGUAUCAUUAAAGAUCAAGUAGAUUACCUGCUAGCCCUAAUUUACUAAAGAAGCGUAGUCCUUAAGCUGCUAACUUAGUUGCAGAACUGGUUUUAGAUUUCUCUCUUGAUAUACCCAGCUUAUUCUAUUAACUGAACCUUCGAUUCAAGUGAUCUUGAAAAAGUCACCAUGAUUUCUGCAGGCAUGUUUGGAAUUAUUAAUAGAGAACUCAAUUGACAUUUUUGUGUGAGUUAUAUAUAUAUAUAAAUGUGAAUUAAAAUUUUGAUCUUCCAAAAACUGACAAAAAUUUUACAUGGUUUCUCUUUCUCAGCUAUAUGGUGUAGUUUAUCUUGGCCGACUUAAAAGUAACUUAAGUACCUGUUUCUUGUUUCUUUCUUUUUUUUUUUUUUUAAAGGUUUUAUUUAUUUGAGACAGAGAGAAUGAGAGAGAGAGAGCACAUGAGAGGGGGGAGGGUCAGAGGGAGAAGCAGGCUCCCUGCCUAGCAGGGAGCCCGAUGCGGGACUCGAUUCAGGGACUCCAGGAUCAUGACCUGAGCCGAAGGCAGUCGCUUAACCAACUGAGCCACCCAGGCGCCCUGUUUCUUGUUUCUUUUCUGUAUUUUUGGGGCUUCAUACAAUACCAUAAUGUGGAGGGGGCUAAGGAAAUAUUCAUUGGUUAUAUAGAUGUAGUAGGGAUUAAAAUAUUUCUCACCUGAGAUUUGGUUACUUAAAAGAUUGUGUGAAAACUAAUGAUGAUCUAGGGGUGCCUGGCUGGCUCAGUUGGUAGAACAUGCAACUCUUGAUCUCAUGAGUUCAUGAGUUCGAGCUGCACAUUGGGUGUGGAAAAAAAAAGAAGAAGAAAAUUGUGACAAUUCAGUGGAUACAAUUUUUAAAAUAUAUUUUUAUGUUUUAUAUAAAUUCUUUUAUUACUUUCGGUGUCCAGUGCUUAAUCAAUUUAUAUACUCACUACAUAUUUGACAGUUCCUACUUGGAUAUCUUAAAAACAUUUCAAACUGUUCAUCCAAAAUAUAAUUCUUAAUUUGCCUUCCAAGUGCCCUCUUCUUCUUAAAACAAAAUUUCUUCAUUGUUCAUUACUGUAUAUUCAGUUGUUCAUGCUGGAAAUCUUACUAACACUGAUUAAGCCUGUCUCCUAAAUAUAUAAUAGAAUCUGUCCAACACUACCAGGCUGGUCUAAGUUAUCAUAUCUUGGCAAAGCUUUUAUAAGAGUCUCUUCAUUGGUGUCUCUGAAUCCAGUCUUGCCCUGUCUGUCUGCUUUCCCUCUAUCUCCAAUCACUUUUUUUUUUUUUUUGGUUAUUGUUGCAAUUCCAUGUAUUUUUUAUUAUAUUUUGAAAAAUUGAAGCAUAAUUUAUAUAUAGUCGAAUGUAUAAAUCUUAGGUGUUCAGUUUGGUAUUACUGAUAAUAUAUAGCAGUAUAACUGCUAUCUAAAUUAAGACACAAAGCAUCUCAAUCACCAGGGGUACCUGGCUGGCUCAUUCAGUAGAACAUGUGACUCUUGAUCUCAGGGUCAUGAGUUUGAGCCCCAUGAUGGGCAUAGAGUUUACUUAAAAAAACAAACACUUCAGUCAUCCAAGAAGUUCCCUUGUGUCUUCUUUCUAGUCCAGUCUCCUUCCUCUUUCUGAAACACUGCCAUCACCAUAGAUUAGUUUUGAAGCUUUUUGGACUUCAUAUAAAUGGAGUCAUACUAUAUAUAUUCUUUUGUGUUGGUCUUCUUUCACUUAAUAUCUUUGAGAUUUAUUCUCAUUGUUAAAUGUAUUCCUAUCUACUGCUGAGUUGCAUUCCAUUAUAUAGAUAGAUCACAAUGUAUCUACUCUCUUGUUAAUGGAUAUUUGAAUUGUUUUCAUUUUGGGGAAAUUAUGAAUAAGGCUGCCGUGAACAUUCUUGUGCCAGACAUUUUUCAUUUCUCCUGGAUAAAUUCCUAAGCGUGGAAUUUCUGAGUCAUACAUUUCAUAGGGUAAAUGUUUAACUUAUAAGAAACUCUCUGAAUUCUGCACAUUUAGUGACCUUUCUGGGUUGGCCGUGUGGGUUGGGGCACCCUGAGCCAGUUGUCCUGUGCUGAGAUGCUUCAAAGCCUUAUUAAAAAUGCUUAGAUUCCUAUGAAGCCCAACUAUACCCAAGUUCACCAAGAGAUUUGGGUAGGAAUGAUGUUGAUGGGCUUAAUCAUUUAUAAAAUCAAGAGUGAUGAUAAAGAAGUGAAACUUUGAGAUCUUCAAGUCCUGCGCCUGCUUAUCAUUAACCAGCUUUACCUGGAGUACACAUCAGAUGGAAUGUCACCCUGGCUGUAAAUUUCAGUAAGCUCUAGUAGAUGAGAGUGUGGCACAUCACUGUACACUUGUGAAAGUGCUGUUUCCUUUGUGGUAUGAAUAAAUGUACCUGUGAGAUGCAAAGAAAAGAAAAAAAAAAGAAAGAAACCUGAGUUCUAGGGUUUGUAUCAUUUAACACUUCCACUAUCAGUGUAUGAGAGCCAGUUGCUCCACGUUCUCCCGGCCAUUCUUCAUAGUGUGGAGGACUGACCUUUUUAAAAGGAAGAUCCAGUCAUUUCACUUACAUUACCCAGCAAUGCCAUCUCGAUGUUGUCUUUAAAAUAAGAAUCAGGGGCGCCUGGGUGGCUCAAUCGUUAAGCGUCUGCCUUCGGCUUAGGUCGUGAUCCCAGGGUCCUGGGAUCGAGCCCCGCAUCGGGCUCCCUGCUCUGCGGGAAGCCUGCUUCUCCCUCUCCCACUCCCCCUGCUUGUGUUCCCUCUCUCGCUGUGUCUCUGUCAAAUAAAUAAAAUCUUAAAAAAAUAAAUAAAUAAAAUAAAAUAAGAAUCAAAUUCUUCCCAUGGCCAGAAAGAGCCUGCAUAAAUAUGUAACCUUAGGCUCUGUCAGUCUCCCUUGAGUACACUGUGUCAUGGUGCAGUGCUUGUCGUUGCUUAAACAGGUCAUGGUUUGUUUCUGGUCUCAGAGUCUUGACACAGAGUUUCCUCUUGGCCUGAUAAAUACUUCACUGUCUUCUCCCACUACUCAGUCACCUGUUUAUUUUGUCAAGUCUCAUCUUAAGUAUCUUUCUCCUCCAACCCCUCCCUUCAUAAGUUUAGAGCAUUUUCUUCUUGUUUUUCCAGUGCUUAACACAAUUUUGAAUAAUCAUUAUGUUUUAAUAUUUCUCUGUAAGCUCCAGGAUGGCAGGGACGUAUCUGUUUGUCACUGUAGCAUAUGUAGCACCAGCCAUGGUGCCUGGCAUACUGAAUGAAUGAAUGAAUGAAUGUAUGAAUGCUUUCAAGUACAUUUUUGCCAAGAGGGAAGAAAAGAGAGUGAGGUAAGCCCAGCAAAAGACUCUGGAAAGAAUAAUUAGAGAUAAUCAAAGAUGUCAGAGGAGUGUAUGAUAGAGCAAAUUCCUGAGAUAAGUAGGGAAAGGUUGAUUACAGAUGCCAAGAUGGAGGAAUUACUUUUGGAAAAGAGGAAUAGUCUCUCUGUGGAGUUAGGCAGUUGAGAAUGGAAAUGUGUAGAACAGAAAAAUUAAGAAGGAAGGUUGGUGUAGAUAGUAGAGUUUGUGUCAGAGGCCGGGAGAUGAUUUGAAUUCUUGAAGGGAGUAUAGAUGCUAGUAAAUAGAGUCAUAGGUAAUGCAUCAACUGACCAGCAUGUUAGGCCCACAUGAGAUUGGAUUGCAUUGUUUCCUGCUGCAUUUCCUCUCUGUUAUCCUGAUCAAGACUGAUACUACAACAGAAAAACAUUUAAUGUGAUAAUAACAAUAGAAUUUAUACUGUUUGAUAAGUUCUUGUAUGUGCCAGACAGCAUGUGAAGGUGCAUUAGAUACAUUUUCUCAUUUAAUAUUAACUAAUCUUCACAAAAACCCUAAGGUGUAAAUACUGUACCCCCAUUUUUAAAAAUGAGCUAAUUGAAGCUUGGAGAAGAGUUGAGUAAUUUGUCCGGUUGCAUGUAGGUAGAAACUGUUGUAAAGCUAGGAGUAAAAUUGAAGACCGUUUAAUUCUACAGUCGAUGCUUUGCUUCUAAUAAUAAUUUAUUUAAAAAAAAAAAACUUGGAGGAAAACAUUGCCUUAGUAAUCUAUUUUGUUCUAAUUGUAUUUAAAAUGAAAAAUAUAUUCAUUUGUAAACCUUUUCUGGAAACAGAGCCCUCCUAUUACCUUCUAGGAAUAAUCUCAGUACUAAAUAAUAUCUCCUCUAAAGGAAAAACCUAACCUUUUAUAAAUAGGAAAGAUUUAUUAGUGAUACCUCAUUUACCUGGAGGUAAUUACUGGAGUUGAUUUUAGUAAUCAACGUGUUAAACUUGAAAGUUAAAAAAAAACACACAAAGAGCUUCUCGUCAAUGAAGAGGGCUAAAAGAAAAAACCCAAGACCCAGUAAUUAUGUGUGAUCAACUUAUAGUCAACAAAUAGCAUAAAUAGUAUCCAGUUGGAGAGUGUUGGCAGAGAUUUGUGUCAAAGGCAGCAAGCUUGACCUGAUAGCAAAAAAGACAGUUGACCAGCCAAAGAAAAAGAAGAAAACCAGGACAUCAUUGUGUCACACUUAAGACACUUAAAAAAUUAAAAAUAAAUUAGGGAACCUUUAGUAAAAAUAGGCUGGUUAGUUAUUUCUGUAACUUACAGGGUCAUUUGCUAAGGCAGGAGCAGGCUUUGUCAAUGGGGAAUCCAGGCACAGCUGAUUGCUAGAGAAUUCAUGGAAAUCUGGUUGUGUGUAGUGUGGAAGAAUUGAAAGAACACUGGCCUUUCAGUCAAGUGAUUUAUAUCUAAAUCUCACCUCUGUUUCAGUGACUUGUGGCUAAGUUACUUAAGAUCUCUGGACCUCAUAUUCAAAAAAGGAAUUACUGUCUUUUUCAGAAAAAUCUGUGUUCACAUCCUCUGCUUAGUUUGUAAUCAUAUUACUUGUUUUUUGGAGUUGAGUUGUAUAAGUUCUUUGUAUGUUUUGGAUAUUAACUCUUUAUUAGAUAUAUCAUUUGCAACAGACAUAUGAAAAGAUGCUAAAUAACACUAAUCAUCAGGGAAAUUCAAAUCAAAGCCAUAAUGAGAUAUCACCUUACACCUGUUGGAAUAGAUAAAAUCAAAAAUGUAAGAAACAACAAGUGUUGGUGAGGAGAAAAAAAACCCUUGUGUACUGUCUGUAGGAAUGCAAAUUGGUGCAGCCACUGUGGAAAACAGUAUGAAGGCUCCUUAAAAAAUUAAAAAUAGAAUUACCAUACGAUCCAAUAAUUCCCCUAUUGGGUAUUUACCCAAAGAAAAUGAAAACCCUAAUUCAAAAAGAUAUAUGCACUCCCGUGUUUAUUGCAGCAUUAUUUACAAUAGUCAAGAUAUGGAAGCAGCCCAAGUGUUUAUCAAUAAAUGAAUGGAUAAAGAAGAUGUGGUAUAUGUAAAAACCACCGAAUAUUCCUCAGCUGUAAAAAAGAAUGAGAUCCUGCUGUUUACAAUAACACAGAUGGACAUGGGAGUAUAAUGCUAAAUGAAAUAAGUAAUAAAUAAUGAAAGAUAGCAUAUGAUUUCACUCAUACAUGGAAUUUAAGAAAUAAAACAAAUGAACAAAUAAAGAAAAAAGAGAGAAACCAAAAACAGACUCAUACAGAGAACAAACUGGUGGUUACCUGAGAGGCUGUGGGGACGAGGGGUGGUGGUGGUAAAAAGAUAAAGGGGAUCAAGAGUACACUUAUUUUGAUGAGUACUGAGUAAUGUAUGUAUAGAAUGGUUGAAUUAUUAUAUUGUACACCUGAAACUAAAAUAGCACUGUAUAUUAAUUAUACUUCAGUGAAAAAAGAGAAAAAGGGGGAAAAAGGGCAUUGUAUUAUGUGGUCUUGCAGGUCAUUAUCAGGGUCAACAGUCUGUGAGUUCUGUUAGAUCACAGAUUGUCACACCAGCACACCAGCCUUUAAUCCCGAGAAAUCUCCAAUAAAUAAUAGGAUUUGUCAGUUUUACCAGCGUUGCUUCUUACCCAAGGUAAUAAAUGGAUCCUAAUGUUAUUGAUAGAAUGAAUAGAUAAAAUGAGAUGUGGUUUGUUUUUCUAAUUGAAGUUGUUUUAAUACAAUUUGUUGUACAUUGGACUUGAAAAAAAUUCAAUAAGGUAUGAAAGAAACUAUUUUGUGCAAAGUGUUAGCUUUAAUAAAAUUUGGGAGAGUAAACCAUUAUACUACCAAUUACUGGCCCUUAUUUUCCCUGGUGUAUGUGGGAAAAGGCUGUAAAAAUAUUUUAGAACCCUUUAAGUUUCUAAAUUUUGGAAGACUGGUAAGUUAAGGUGAAUAAGAAUCUGGAGUUUACUUUUUAGGUAUCUAUUUGUAGUAUACACAUUAUUUAUAAUUGAGCUGAAAUAUUAAAGAACUUUGAAUAUAUGAUACGAAAUUUAAAAAUAAUAUUUUUCAAGUAGAAAUGUGAAAAAAAUUAGUGCAUAGAUCUGAGGUUUAACCCCCACAAAUUGGGAUUUACUAGAAUCAUGUACUGUAUGCGUUCUGUAGUAGGUGUUCAAUUAACAAAUUCCAUCAAUCCUAAAAUGACAUCAGUGGUACAGCACACCUUUAUUAUAUGUAGUUUUGAGAAAGAAAAUAUGUUGCAUGUUCAAUUAUGACAUAACAUAAUACCUUAACAGUAGUCUUGGCUUGAGGUAUGGAUUGGUCUUACUAGUGCCCUUAUUUCUUCCAAAGUAUCUGGUAAUUUUGGUAAGUUCUCCUGGCUUUGACUGUGUUUCUUGAGUACAUGACAAGCAGUUUCUUAGCAAGUUAGUAACAAAACAGCUUUAAUUGCUUGUUAGGUAUCUUCCUUUCUUAAGUCACAUAAAACAUUUGGAUGUAGCUUUGUAAGAAAUAAGGAAUUGGAGUCCUCUCUCCGAAAAUGAGUAUUUGCUUCACUGAUUUUAUAAUUAUACCCUGUGGCUCUGUUUCUUUGUCUUACUGGAUACUCAGUAACUGUUUUCAACACCAAAUUAUAAUGUAAUGUUUUUAAGGUAAUUUAAACAUCAUUUAAACUCAGCACAUAUUUGCAACAUGUACACACGGUUGAAAUGACAGAGAUGGGAAUAGCUUUGACCAAGUGUGCUCAUGUGCUGGCAAUAGAAACUAUCAUUACUGCUAGCUGGUCCUCUGCAGUGUAUAGGAGGCCAUCAAUUGUAAACUCAGACAAACACAAAUUUCAAAACUCUUGACUUCAGUGAUACAAAAAUUUGUAAAAAUGUGAAUCCUAGAAUUGAUGAAUUAAGGUGAAUCUUACCUGAGUUGGUGGUAGCCUUAACUAUAUCCUAGAACUGUUGGUUUUGUUAUUAUUAUUUUUUUAAUGCCACAAAGCCCCUGAAGAUUCAUAAUCUUU